rnacentral:rRNA from 1 species
AUUGAACGCUGGCGGCAGGCCUAACACAUGCAAGUCGAGCGGAUGAAGGGGGCUUGCUCCUGGAUUCAGCGGCGGACGGGUGAGUAAUGCCUAGGAAUCUGCCUGGUAGUGGGGGAUAACGUCCGGAAACGGGCGCUAAUACCGCAUACGUCCUGAGGGAGAAAGUGGGGGAUCUUCGGACCUCACGCUAUCAGAUGAGCCUAGGUCGGAUUAGCUAGUUGGUGGGGUAAGGGCCUACCAAGGCGACGAUCCGUAACUGGUCUGAGAGGAUGAUCAGUCACACUGGAACUGAGACACGGUCCAGACUCCUACGGGAGGCAGCAGUGGGGAAUAUUGGACAGUGGGCGAAAGCCUGAUCCAGCCAUGCCGCGUGUGUGAAGAAGGUCUUCGGAUUGUAAAGCACUUUAAGUUGGGAGGAAGGGCAGUAAGUUAAUACCUUGCUGUUUUGACGUUACCAACAGAAUAAGCACCGGCUAACUUCGU